UACGGAGGUCGCAAGCGUUGUUCGGAUUCAUUGGGCGUAAAGGGUGCGUAGGUGGCAUGGUAAGUCGGAUGUGAAAUCCCGGGGCUCAACCCCGGAACUGCAUUCGAUACUGCUGCGCUAGAGUACUGGAGAGGAGAUUGGAAUUUACGGUGUAGCAGUGAAAUGCGUAGAUAUCGGAAGGAAGACCAGUGGCGAAGGCGGAUCUCUGGACAGUUACUGACACUGAGGCACGAAGGCCAGGGGAGCAAACGGG
rnacentral:rRNA from 1 species